UGGCAUCUACCGAUUGGAUGGUCCGGUGAAGCCUUGGGAUUGUGGUUAGGUUCCUUCAUCGGGACCUGACCGUGAGGAGUUGUCUAAACCUUAUCAUCUAGAGGAAGGUG
rnacentral:rRNA from 1 species